CCACGAACCCUUGAGCAACCACAGCUGCAAACCCACAUGAAGCAUCAUGUUAGUGAAAUCGUUGACAUAUAAAGUAUCUUCAUGCAUGCCAUAAGUCAUGACAUAAUAUAGAUUAACAAUGUUUGUGUGAUUAAUUGCGGACUACAAAAAUCCGAUGUUAGAAACCAACCAAAAUUAUCAAUCGUUAUUCAAACCAAUUUCGCGAAAUAGAUUACUAAAUAAUUUUGUGAUUUGAUGUCAUUACGCUCUUGAUUCAGCAAAAAAAAAAAAAAAAUAUUAUGUUUUUGUGACUAAAUGAAUUGUGAAUAUGUAGCAAUUUCUUAUGGUGGUCUAUUUAAUAUGUAAGUUAAUUUUUCUUACCAAAGGUGGCUGAAUUGAAUGUUGUGAAACCAUCAACAACAUUGUGGUCUCCUGUGAUAACUGUUUGAUUGAUUCCCUCUCCAACCAUCAUCAAGUACUUUUUGUUUUUGGGUAUAGAUACGUACUCUUGAUACACACCUUUGGUGAUAAAUAUGAAGAAGUAUCCAUCACUAGCAACCGUGUUAUUUGGUGCAGCAGCUAUUGCAUCAUUGAUAGUGGUGAAGUUUCCACUUCCAUCUUGACUAACAACAACAAUAUCACUUACCAAAAUACUAUCUUCAUCGGUUUGAAGUAGUUUUCUCCCAUGGCGUCUAGCUGAAUCAUAAAUAGCGCGUGCUUUAUUUGACAUCUUCAAUGGCAAACGACCAUUUUUGAAAUUCAAAUGUCUCCCUUUUUGUGGCCAUGACGUUCUUAUUUUAUUCGCAGGCAUCCAACCCUUCAAGAACAAGGCUAGGGUUACACUAUGAAGCUUUAUGUCAUCGGAGAGAGAUAAUGACAAGUCAUUUUUCACUCUUUGAUCAGAAGUU
rnacentral:lncRNA from 1 species